rnacentral:rRNA from 1 species
GCUUAUCACCAUUCCAGAUUGAAUAUACCCGAUCUCGUCUGAUCUCGGAAGUCAAGCAAUCUCGGG